GAUGAACGCUGGCGGCGUGCCUAAUACAUGCAAGUCGAGCGAACGGACGAGAAGCUUGCUUCUCUGAUGUUAGCGGCGGACGGGUGAGUAACACGUGGAUAACCUACCUAUAAGACUGGGAUAACUUCGGGAAACCGGAGCUAAUACCGGAUAAUAUUUUGAACCGCAUGGUUCAAAAGUGAAAGACGGUCUUGCUGUCACUUAUAGAUGGAUCCGCGCUGCAUUAGCUAGUUGGUAAGGUAACGGCUUACCAAGGCAACGAUGCAUAGCCGACCUGAGAGGGUGGUGGGCGGGGGUGGAAGGGAGGGGGGGGGGAGACGGGUGCGGGAGGGAGCAGGGGGGAAUGGUGCGCGAGGGGCGGAAGCCGGACGGAGCAACGCCGCGUGAGUGAUGAAGGUCUUCGGAUCGUAAAACUCUGUUAUUAGGGAAGAACAUAUGUGUAAGUAACUGUGCACAUCUUGACGGUACCUAAUCAGAAAGCCACGGCUAACUACGUG
rnacentral:rRNA from 1 species